AUUGAACGCUGGCGGCAGGCCUAACACAUGCAAGUCGAGCGGAUGACGGGAGCUUGCUCCUUGAUUCAGCGGCGGACGGGUGAGUAAUGCCUAGGAAUCUGCCUGGUAGUGGGGGACAACGUUUCGAAAGGAACGCUAAUACCGCAUACGUCCGACGGGAGAAAGCAGGGGACCUUCGGGCCUUGGGCUAUAAGAUGAGCUUAGGUCGGAUUAGCUAGUAGGUGAGGUAAUGGCUCACCUAGGCGACGAUCCGUAACUGGUCUGAGAGGAUGAUCAGUCACACUGGAACUGAGACACGGUCCAGACUCCUACGGGAGGCAGCAGUGGGGAAUAUUGGACAAUGGGCGAAAGCCUGAUCCAGCCAUGCCGCGUGUGUGAAGAAGGUCUUCGGAUUGUAAAGCACUUUAAGUUGGGAGGAAGGGCAGUAAGUUAAUUCCUUGCUGUUUUGACGUUACCGACAGAAUAAGCACCGGCUAACUCUGUGCCAGCAGCCGCGGUAAGAC
rnacentral:rRNA from 1 species